GUGAUCACUUUGAGAGCACAGAUACUGAAAUUGGAAUGAUACAGAGAUUAGCGUGGAUCCUGUGCAAGGAUGAAACACAAAUUUGUGAAGCAUUCCAUUUUUUU